rnacentral:rRNA from 1 species
UACGUAGGGGGCAAGCGUUGUCCGGAAUCAUUGGGCGUAAAGCGCGUGUAGGCGGCUCGAUAAGUCUGCUGUGAAAGUCCAGGGCUCAACCCUGGGAUGCCGGUGGAUACUGUCGGGCUCGAGUCCGGAAGAGGCGAGUGGAAUUCCUGGUGUAGCGGUGAAAUGCGCAGAUAUCAGGAGGAACACCGAUGGCGAAGGCAGCUCGCUGGGACGGUACUGACGCUGAGACGCGAAAGCGUGGGGAGCAAACAGG